rnacentral:rRNA from 1 species
ACUCAUGGCGGACGGGUGAGUAACGCGUAAAGAACUUGCCCUUUAGACUGGGAUAACAGAGGGAAACUUCUGAUAAUACUGGAUAAGUUAGUAUAUCGCAUGAUAUACAAAUGAAAGCUACGGCACUAAAGGAGAGCUUUGCGUCCUAUUAGUUAGUUGGUAAGGUAAGAGCUUACCAAGGCGAUGAUAGGUAGCCGGCCUGAGAGGGUGGACGGCCACAAGGGGACUGAGAUACGGCCCUUACUCCUACGGGAGGCAGCAGGC